rnacentral:tRNA from 1 species
AAAGGUAUAGCUCAGUGGUAGAGUACAUGCUUAGCAUGCAUGAGGUCCUGGGUUCAAUCCCCAGUACCUCCA